rnacentral:misc_RNA from 1 species
UGGCUCUCGCAUCGAUGAAGAACGCAGCGAAAUGCGAUAAGUAAUGUGAAUUGCAGAAUUCAGUGAAUCAUCGAAUCUUUGAACGCACCUUGCGCCCUUUGGUAUUCCGAAGGGCAUGCCUGUUUGAGUGUCAUUAAAUUCUCAACUUCAAAAGCUUUGUCUUUUUGAAGCUUGGAUGUGAAGGCUUGCUGGCAUUUCCAAAUGCUUCAGCUCCUUUGAAAUGCAUUAGUGGACCCGUUUGUGUUCAGCCUUAGUGUGAUAAUUAUCUACGCUAUGGUGUUUGAAUGCUUGCUCAUUAGAACUUCGAAGUGUUUCACGACAUUUUCGGUAUGGGAAGUUGCGAGUUUAACUUUGCUCUUUCUGUCUAUUGAGUGUGGUUUGUCUGCUUAUAACUGUCUACUCGUGGACAAUAUUUGAAACAUUUGACCUCAAAUCAGGUAGGACUACCCGCUGA